CCUACAGGAGGCAGCAGUGGGGAAUAUUGGGCAAUGGGCGCAAGCCUGACCCAGCAACGUCGCGUGAAGGAAGAAGGCUCUCGGGUUUUAAACUUCCUUUGUUAGGGACGUAGCAAGUGACGGUACCUGACGAAUAAGCCACGGCUAACUACGUGCCAGUAGCCGUGGCAAUACGGAGGUGGCAAGCGUUAUCCGGAUUUAUUGGGUGUAAAGGGCGUGUAGGCGGGAAUGCAAGUCAGAUGUGAAAACUAUGGGCUCAACCCAUAGCCUGCGUUUGAAACUGUAUUUCUUGAGUGCUGGAGAGGCAAUCGGAAUUCCGUGUGUAGCGGUGAAAUGCGUAGAUAUAAGGAAGAACCCCAGUGGCGAAGGCGGAUUGCUGGACAGUAACUGACGCUGAAGCGCGAAGGCGUGGGGAGCAAACAGGAUUAGAUACCCUUGUAGUC
rnacentral:rRNA from 1 species